GGCAGCAGUGGGGAAUAUUGCACAAUGGGCGAAAGCCUGAUGCAGCAACGCCGCGUGAGUGAUGAAGGCCUUCGGGUCGUAAAACUCUGUCCUCAAGGAAGAUAAUGACGGUACUUGAGGAGGAAGCCCCGGCUAACUACGUGCCAGCAGCCGCGGUAAUACGUAGGGGGCUAGCGUUAUCCGGAUUUACUGGGCGUAAAGGGGGCGUAGGCGGUCUUUCAAGUCAGGAGUGAAAGGCUACGGCUCAACCGUAGUAAGCUCUUGAAACUGGGAGACUUGAGUGCAGG
rnacentral:rRNA from 1 species